CAUCAUGAGAAAUUAUUGCCGAAGAAAUUACUUUAAAACAAAGUCAAUAGAAACAUGCAGUGAUGUCUUCUUAUUAGCAUUUUUGCAUAUAAACAUCAAAUUUGAGGCUCUUCAAUUGAUAAAUUUGGAUAGAAAGCUACUAUUUCAUAUUUGUGCUGCAGUUGUUUCGUAUGUUCUUAUCAUGCUGCAAUUUAGCAUUCAGGAAAUUCAACUGAUAUUUUUAAGCGGUAACGAGUAUUCACAUUACGAAAUUUAAAAAUUCAUUCAACUAAUAUUGAAUCAAUACCAUGUUUAAUAAAAAACAAAUAGAAAUUUAAUAUAUUAUAAAAAAAAGAUUGGUUGAAAAUUCAUAUUAUAAGAAAAUACUAUUUUCUCCGA